UGGUAAUGAAAUAAAUUAGGAGGCUUGACAAUAAAAAGUUAAUAGAUUGAUAUAGAACACAAUAUAAAAUAUAUAACCAUUGGAUGAAUGUAUAAGAUUAAAUUACAAUGAAAUUUAGAAUACCUCGCAUAGAAUGAUGGAAAAAUAGUUUAGUCGAAUGAAGGAUUAAUGAUUGAUAAUACAUAAGCACAUGU